rnacentral:rRNA from 1 species
CUACGGGAGGCAGCAGUGAGGAAUAUUGGUCAAUGGGCUUACGCCUGAACCAGCCAAGUCGCGUGAGGGAAGACUGCCCUAUGGGUUGUAAACCUCUUUUGUCAGGGAGCAACGCCGGCUACGUGUAGCCGGACUGAGAGUACCUGAAGAAAAAGCAUCGGCUAACUCCGUGCCAGCAGCCGCGGUAAUACGGAGGAUGCGAGCGUUAUCCGGAUUUAUUGGGUUUAAAGGGUGCGUAGGCGGAAUGCUAAGUCAGCGGUAAAAUCGCGGGGCUCAACCUCGCUCCGCCGUUGAAACUGGUGUUC